rnacentral:lncRNA from 1 species
GAAAGAACCAAGGGAAAUCAACAGGCCAAACAUUUCUUGGUGGUCCUGGACCAGUAGGAAUUAUUUUCUCACCACCUAGAGUGCAAACAGAUCAUAAAAUACAGGGUAGCACAUAGAGUACUUAGCUAGGUAUUCCUGGUGGGGAGGCAGGGUCUUCUCUGUGCCUGCUGUGGCCCUCUACAUUUUCUUGGAUGUCCCAAUCAAGGCCCUGGCCACUCCUUUAUCUGGGCCAUUUGUCAUAGUUGGUCACACAGUGAGUUACUUGGAGAGAUAAGGUAACACAUCAGAAUUUCUUUCUGCUUGUAUACAGCUCAGUGCUUUUGCAGCUGCUACACAAACCUACUGUGCGUGUCACAAUUCAUUUGGGCACAUCAUGUGACUGCAAAGGGCAUGAGAGCUAUCCCAGGUCCACCCAGGUAAAUAUGCUGAUGUUCAUGCUUGCUGUGUCAGGAAAUAAUGCAGAUCCUUUACUCCUUAACCAGGGACAGACGAGUGCUGCCAUACCCCACAACUAGAAGCAUCAUCUUAAUAUGGCUGUGGAGGCUCCUAGAAGACACAAGGGGAGAGCUAACAUACUGGAUGUAUCUUCAAGAGCCUACGAGUGAAGGGCUAUGGGGCAUUGUAUGAACAGUAUCACCUAGAGUCUGAAAUCCAAGUCUGCUCAAAAUUUGCAUUGAAUACUCUCUCUUAGCGACACUUGUGGACAAAGGCUGCUUAUCAUCUAUUUAAAAAUCUUUAAAAUGGAAGGAUCAUGGAACAAGCUGUUACAUUUCCUUAUUCAUUAUUUUCUUCUAUACCACCUAUUCUAGAUUCUGUUCACCUGCAUACAGAACUUGCAUUUGUCUGUUGUGCC